UCUCUCAUGAAAAUUUCUACUUACAAGGAAACUUGUAUAUACACUCUUGCCCAUUAAUGUAACUUGACACCGAUUUUUUUCUCAAAAAUAUUGGUUUGAAAUUCGUCAAUUUGGUAUUGAACAUAAAGUAGUAUUAUUCUCAUGCCUGUCUUUUGGUUUAUUGUAAUGUAAUCAAUUAAUAGUUAUAGGCUCAGCACUAAUAACAAAACAACUUGAAUAACACAUUCUAGUUCUGGGAGUGGUAUACACUAUUAGCUCACACUGGUUCAUUUUUAAAAUAAUCAUUUUAGAAUAUUAG
rnacentral:lncRNA from 1 species